rnacentral:rRNA from 1 species
AACGUAGGAUCCGAGCGUUAUCCGAAUUCACUGGGCGUAAAGCGCAUGCAGGCGGCCGCACAAGUUGGAUGUGAAAUCUCCCGGCUCAACUGGGAGGGGACGUUCAAAACUGUGCGGCUCGAGGGCGGUAGAGGAAGGUAGAAUUCCCGGUGUAGUGGUGAAAUGCGUAGAUAUCGGGAGGAAUACCCGUGGCGAAGGCGACCUUCUGGACCGUUUCUGACGCUCAGAUGCGAAAGCUAGGGGAGCGAACGGG